GGGUUGUGAGGUUAAGCGACUAAGCGUACACGGUGGAUGCCCUGGCAGUCAGAGGCGAUGAAGGACGUGCUAAUCUGCGAUAAGCGUCGGUAAGGUGAUAUGAACCGUUAUAACCGGCGAUUUCCGAAUGGGGAAACCCAGUGUGAUUCGUCACACUAUCAUUAACUGAAUCCAUAGGUUAAUGAGGCGAACCGGGGGAACUGAAACAUCUAAGUACCCCGAGGAAAAGAAAUCAACCGAGAUUCCCCCAGUAGCGGCGAGCGAACGGGGAGGAGCCCAGAGCCUGAAUCAGUGUGUGUGUUAGUGGAAGCGUCUGGAAAGGCGCGCGAUACAGGGUGACAGCCCCGUACACAAAAAUGCACAUGCUGUGAG
rnacentral:rRNA from 1 species